AAUAGCGAUUGAAUUAAUUUCGGAGUGUUUAUGAUUUUAUAUAAAGAAACAAUCGCGUAUACCUAUACGACGUAUACGCUGUGUCGGAGCAGUUAUUGUGUUAUAUUACUAUCGUGUUCGUAAUAUUAUUGUCUGUUUAUAUGUUUUACCAACCAUAACAACUGAAGAAAGUAUACUCUAAAGUUUCAAAUAUGUUUCGGGACUGUAUACUGCAUUUUAGCCUUUGAUACUAUACACGCACACAAUAUUAUAUUCACUUGCGCGAGCAUCUACAUUGCCCUUUUGAAAUAAUUCGCUGUGAAACCUUAAUAUAUUAUGCCAUACGGGUUUAAAAGUUUAACCUGCGACCCGAGGUAUUACUAAAAUUUUGACUUUGUAGUUGUAUUUUCUCAAGACGAUA